GGGAAGAGUCCUUUCUGGCCCCUGGCGAGAAGACGGCUCACGGCUUGCAUGUACAAGAUCGUAGUGAAAUCGCAGCUUCACCGUCCGUUCGCGCUGAUCCCGAGCAGCGUGUCAGCCGAGAGGGAACUCGGUAAAGAAAUUCGGCUCGAGGGCCUCUAUUUCCACAGGCUUUGUCUUGUUUCUAUAGGAUCUGCUGCUCCAACCCUAUCUACUUGUGAUGUACCCUGGGUUGGUUUGGCCUUUUACGUAAUCCUUUCCGCUGAUGGUUAUGGGUAAACCACAGUAAAGCAGAAAGGAAAGCCUCUCAGGACAACGUUUUCGUCGCCGUUAAAGCCGAGAGAGAAGUCUCUAAAGCCCGCUAUGGUCUGGGCUCUCGCUUACGUCGUCCGUCCGGGGGACUCCAUUACGCUGCUCGCCCUAUUAGCCGGCGGCAACCAUGGUAAUUUAUUAAUUUCAGCCAGUCCGUAAUUUGUUGAAUAAUAGCAGCCGGUUGAGAUAUUUCGCCAGGAAAUUCAUCUUCGGUAUGGUACACAUAUCUAUACAGUAUUGCAGAGACGAGCUGGCUAGACUCUUAUCGAAAUUGCGUAUAGAAAGAGAUUCGUCUUGAAAGCUAGACAGACAAUUUCUAUUCCCUAUGGCCCAUGUGAUAGUGAAAGACAACAUUGUCCUAGAACGGUCAAAUAGAAUUUGAAUCUUCUAUUUGACUUCCUACGGGCAUCACAUGAUUACCAUAGUAUAUGAAGACCUCAGUCAGCUCCCCACCAAUGAGCGGUGGUGCUUCUGUUCCAGUCGACUCAUUACCAUAGUCAGGAUGCAACCGUGUAUAGUUUCUUUUGUUGUAUAUGAUGUACCUAGGUUGNNNNNNNNNNNNNNNNNNNNNNNNNNNNNNNNNNNNNNNNNNNNNNNNNNNNNNNNNNNNNNNNNNNNNNNNNNNNNNNNNNNNNNNNNNNNNNNNNNNNNNNNNNNNNNNNNNNNNNNNNNNNNNNNNNNNNNNNNNNNNNNNNNNNNNNNNNNNNNNNNNNNNNNNNNNNNNNNNNNNNNNNNNNNNNNNNNNNNNNNNNNNNNNNNNNNNNNNNNNNNNNNNNNNNNNNNNNNNNNNNNNNNNNNNNNNNNNNNNNNNNNNNNNNNNNNNNNNNNNNNNNNNNNNNNNNNNNNNNNNNNNNNNNNNNNNNNNNNNNNNNNNNNNNNNNNNNNNNNNNNNNNNNNNNNNNNNNNNNNNNNNNNNNNNNNNNNNNNNNNNNNNNNNNNNNNNNNNNNNNNNNNNNNNNNNNNNNNNNNNNNNNNNNNNNNNNNNNNNNNNNNNNNNNNNNNNNNNNNNNNNNNNNNNNNNNNNNNNNNNNNNNNNNNNNNNNNNNNNNNACUCUAUAACCUUGCUCACUCUAGAACCAGGGGGAGACUCACUGGCUGACUCCUACUCCUACUCAUACAGGCUUAGCUUACAGAGUAGCUUUCCUCUAGCUUACUUUGAAUCACCCUUAACCUACUUCCAAAAAGGGUGAACCAUAGAAUGAUGAUUAGCGGGCUAGGAUCUGAGUUUGUGGCUUCCUUGCUAGCGGGAUAGAAAGUAGGCUAAGGAAGGGUUAAGGGAAUUACUUACAGCGACGAAAGGGUUAGAGCGUUAGAUGAGGGUUAGAGAGUGGGACUAGUUCUCCUACUACAACGAGGGGAUCUAUACUCCAGGUUAGAGGAUAGACUCAUAUACCAGGCACUAAGGGUUAGAACGUAGCCUGACUCUAUACUUUUGGGUUUAGGGUUUCAGCGUGGGAUUAACUUAAGAACUACGCCUACAAGGCGGUUAGCUGUGCUUCCCUUCCUCAACGGUAACUGGCAGCUAAGACUGCUUAUUCCUUGUUCACAUUCAACUUCCUUACCUUAAAACCAUGAGCAGAGUGCCGCCGAGAGGAAUCGGACUUAUUUAAUCAUUCCCAUUGAUUGUAGUCGUUUAGUUCCAUUCGUUCGCUUUAGAAAGGGUAGUUACCCCUGGUCUUUCUCACCUUGGGCUUGAGCCAGUAGAAAUGACUUAAUCAAGAGAGAGAACCCCUUUGAACGGGAUCAACUAUAUCCACUUAAGUCGGCCUUACUCGGGUGAAUUUCUACGCUUAUCUCAUCUGCUAGCUCGCCUUCUUCUUUAACUAGUCUUUACUUUAGCAUUCUCUUUCUCUUUCUCUUUCUGGCUUAGCCUAGCCCAUGAGAACAUACUUUUCUUUUUCAAUUCAUUUCCAUCGGACUUAUCCGGGUUCUAAUUAAUAAGUAGCUUGCCUGGGGGUGAGCUCCUCCUACUGAUCUUACUCCAAGAGAUUCAAUAUCACCGGAGAGAAAGCCUAGUCACAGGAACUGAAACAAUUGAAUUACCUGAGGCUAUCCCAGUUCCAGUUUCGGUAACACGAGAAAGUCUGUCUUUUGGCAUAUAUCUGUCUUCUUCUUUAAACCCCUAAACUAUUCCUUAUAGUAUAAUCUACCUACGCAACUCUUUUGAAGUUAAGCAGGCUUCAAAGCUUUAAGGGCUAGGCUUGCUGCUGGGGUUUCAUUUUUAAUAUUAAAGAGCUCGGCCUUGAGCCUUUACCUACCUAAAUCAAUUCCCUUUUGCCUAGGUCUGGGAUCGAUCCUUUCUCUUCCUCUGGUCUAGUUAGUGACUUCGCUUCCCGCCCUUAAUUAGGAGUUUUGGCUUUGUUAGCCAGGCCUUUGAAACCAAGGAAAGUAGUCAUCAACCCAGAGCUAGUUCUAACAACUACCGAUUCUUCUGGGGCACUGAACCUACCUUAACCUAGGAAAGUGACUUCGAUAGGCCUCCUUCCCCCUUGCUGCUUGAAACUAAAAGUCUGGCAGACAAAGCUAAAUGUGCGAUUUUGAGCUGUCGUCCCGCUUAUGAAUACCUGCUUCUUUCACUCUUUAAGACUGUCGGAUGGUACUUGGUUGUUCCCUAAAGCAUUCCCGUUCGCCCCUUGGCUUCGUUCAAUCAAAAAGCAUUUCUCGCCCCAGGUCUAGGAUCGAGCCCUUCUAUGGAAAAUUCGGUAUUAAGUCAUAGAUGCGCCUUUCGACUGGCAUUCACUCCUCCAACACCAACUGAUUCAAUGUCGCUUGGGAUCGGAUCCUUCCAAAAUUCAUUUCCCCUGGAGCUGUGUUCUUUCCCUCCGAAAUCGAUGAUUCUUGGCUACUUGAUUAGGCAUUUCCAUCUCUCAAACUAGAAAGCGCUUUAGCUUAGGAAAGCUCCUUACUUCGUUUUAUACCGCGAGUGACGAACUAUAGCCAUUCGCGGUCACCGCUGUCCUACUUUACUUUUUUAUUAAACCUCACCCAAGGCAAAUCUCGCCCCAUCAAGCAUUUUCACUCGAGCGAAAACAGCUGACCAAGAGACAAGAGCUACCUCACCAGACUCCAUUACUCCUAAGGCUUCUAGAGAGUCUUACUAAUGGCAUACUUCUUCAGUCGAAUGCUCCUGGGCAAAAGAAAGAUGACAUAGACUAUGCCGUUUAUUCAAAAGAGCCAUCACAGCUUAUGAAAGAACAGCUUGGAAAUGGCUAAUUAGUUUAAGGUACUAACCAACUGAGCCGCAGAGAGCCCUUUUUUCAGUGUUGGCGGAAUAGGACCUGUUGGUGGUUUAAAGGGCAUUACAUUAGGAUAUGGAAUAAAUACGACUUUGGUUCCAGAGAUAGCGAUUCGGCUUAGUGAAAAUAGAACUAAAGAGAACGGGUUCAACUUAUCCCAAUCCUCGCUCUGGACCAAGGUGCGUAGCCUUUUAACAUUCUCUUUCUCUCUUUCUGGCUUAGCCUACCAGGGAAAUGGCUCCUUCUUAUUGAUAGCACAUGUGAGAACACCCUUAAGAGGCAAGCUUCACUAAUAUCCCAGGAAUGGGGAAUGAAAGAACUUCUGCUAUCUACUCACUCUUGCCACUGAGAGGGGAUGAGUGAAUACCUGGAAGAUAAAGUUCUCUUAUUCCCGGGAUCAGGGCAUCGACUGCUUAAUUUAUAAAUUCAUACCCGAUAGCAGUAGCCAAUGUCGGAGUUGGAAGAGGAGCCGUUGGUGCUUUAGUUCCGUAGCUCUUGCCUGAGACGGAAAGUUGGCAAAGGCUUCAGACGCGGUCUCCGGUCUCCCUUUUUGGGCACGUGCCAAUCGGUCUUAAAGCCUCGAUGUCCACUAAAGAAGAUAGAGAUCGAGAGAUGUGGCACUCUUCAUAAUGAUUUAGAAAGGCAAGCAAUAGCUGUUUUAAAAGGCAAAGGUUGACUUUAAUUAGCAGGCUCAAGGUCAAUUUCUUUUUGAGUUCCCGGCCCAAGUCAAGGCGAUGCAAUAGUCGGGCGAUAAGGAAGAAGCAGUCCCAGGCCUUAGGUCCAGAUCUGAGAACUUUCGAGAUGUGAAUCAUAGCCUAGUCUAGUUUCGUACCCAACAGCUAAAAGUGAUGUCAUAUUAAAACUUUAUAGAGAAUCACCCAUCGGCCUUAGGAUCCGAGUUUGAAUUGGCUAGGGGGCAUGAGCGGUAGUCAGUGUCAGUGCUUUUGCUCUUACAUAUGCCAGUCUUUUUUCUGUUGAUGCGAAAUAAGUGGUCUUAGCCUUGAGGUUUGGAUUGAAGCACGUCUAAUAGUCGACGAAAGGACAACAGUUUUCAGGUUAAAAAUUAUUUUAUCCCCAUGCCUUUCAUCCGAGAGGAUGUGGUAGUCUAUCUGAAGAGGUCUCCCUAUCUUUCUUCUAUCUUUAAGAUCUAAUCUAGUUAAUGUUAGAACUUUCUCGAGCAUUCUCUUACGUUACGGAUAGAGCAGUCUUGUCUACCUUUGUUUGGUAUGGAAUGAAGGUAGGUGUCUAUCUAGUCAGAGUGAGGUAUUGUUUUUCGAUCAAAUUUGCUAACUUUCCUUUGAAAUGAAGUCCGGUCGAUCACUCUUCCCUUGAAGUCUCCAGCAUUGACCCCUCUUGGCCUCUUUCAUUAGAAAAGGAAAGCGAAAAAUUAUACAAAAACAAAUUACUCAUCACAGAAGGAAGUUUGAAUCCGUCUAAACCCGAUUUCCUUCGUCUUGUCUACAUUUCAUGACUUCUCCCUACACUUCUCUUCUUGCCCAUCUUCACUCCUAAACCUGGACUUGGACUGGCUCGCUUGAAAGAAAUGUACGAAUGCAGCUCGAAAGAGCGGUCUUCAUCUCGUGCGAAAGACUCAUCCCAGGAAAGUCAAAGAAAAGGUCCGACAGAGCAGCGCCUUCGAAGGGCCAGGGCCUAGAAAUGGAACUCUUCGGGAUGCUAAAGUAAAGAGUCAGUCUUUUUCCCUCUACUCCAGUCGAUUUGAAGAAGAGCUGGCUUCUGACUGUAAGCUAUCAACAUAUCUGGGAAUAACCUUUAUCGAGUCGCAUCGAGAAAGAGUUAAAAGAUCUCUCCGUCGUUACGCCCCUUUGAUUCUCUUGUUUUGGGUGUGGGAUCUUUACCAUCUAGCCAUUGAAAGCAGUCUAGUUAAGUCUUUGAAACCAAGGAAAGCAUUCCAAUCACAUCUGAUGAAACAAUAGGCAGAUUAAAAAAAAAAGAAAAAGAUCAAGGCUAAGAGCAAGUGCCACAGAUGAUUCGAGAACUGCCUACUUUGCUACUGAUGGCAUGGCAUACUUCACUAAAUCGGUCUAAUUUGCCUAUCCCUAUUCUUUCACAAGGCAUUCUAGCAAAGAAAAGAGUCGAGCCUAAGCGGUUCAAGCCUAUGUGACCAAUGCUAGCAUAGCUCUUUCAACCUUAGGGGAUUCAGCUCUAUCCAUUCCGAUUGAAAAAAGAGAUACAAUCUAUUCAUCGAAGCUAGCCACUAUCCUCGUAUAAUAAUGCAGAUCUGUGGGCAUUGGGACUUCUUUGCUCCUUCUCUGAGAGAAACUUCCUCUUAUUCGAUCUUAUUAGCUUAGCCUGGAGAGUUAGCUGAUGCUGAUCUGGUAGUAUCAAAGAGGCGAUUCUCAACAGCUUCAACAGCAGAGAUUAUCGGACAUGAGGAUAGGAUGAAGAUGGUGGGAUGAAGUAGUCUUUAAAAAACCAUUAGUAAGGGAAGGCAAAGAAGUAACUGAGGGAAGGGACCUUUACCAUUUCGCUUCUUCCGCUUUUUGGGGAUUCCACUAAUAGAACAGAACUCGAGGGGAACGAAAGGAGUGACCUUCACUCGGAUUAGGGGCUAACCAUGAAUGUCGAGGUGAGCCGGCAAGACCGGGGAAAGAACCUAAUGAGACCCUGUAUGAAGCUCGGGUGCUUCAUGUAGAGAGAGACCGAAGCCAGUCUAGUUCACUUCAUGAUGCCAGGCAAUGAAUCAGUCAAGUAGCGGCUCCUGGCCGGUCUUUGGUUUGCAGACGUUUGGGAAUAGACCGUCUUCUUGCUCUUUUCUAAUAUUCCAAUAUUCAUCUAGCUUUUUAUGCCUAACAAUUGAAUUACGCUUUCAACCUCGUAUGGGUCAGGUGGUCAAUGAGUUGGUCUUCCCUAUGAGUUAGGAGGAGCCGGGUUAGAAGAAUUGUUAGGGAAGGUCCUUGUAGAUGGUCAGAGUCUAGGGAUAGACUCAUUGACUAGUUAGACUGUCUAAGUACUCGUACCAUUCAUGGAUUAGUUGACCAAUCGUGUCAAUUGAAGGAAUGCAUCUGCACUCUCCUAUAGCCUAUAGGGAGGGAGACCUCUUCCUUCCAGGUCAGAGAAAGAAGACAGAUUCUUGAAGACGUCGAUUGGAAGAGUCUGAGUAUGAUCGUCUUCCGGUGACUUGCAGGAUCCAUUUCCGCCUUCUUGUGCUCCUGUAUUCUCAUCCAAUCGUGGAAGCCAUUCAACGCCCCUCUCUUCGGGACCCUCUUAUUUAGCCCGCAGCUGAAAGGAACUUGAUCAACUCGCUGAGAGAACCAAUCUCUGGUAAGCAGUCACCAGGGCAGCAAGGUCAGGCAACAGAGGUUCCCAAAGAAAGGCCGCCUGGGAGGUUUAGCUUAAAGAAGGAGAAAGAUCUGAGUUAACCCAAAGGAGAGGGAAAGGUAAGAAGUCACUCUUCGAGGCAUAGCGCCGUUCUUUAAGCUGUAUUGACCUUGCGCAUAGCCGGUCUGUUGUCAAAGAAUCUCUCUCAUAGGUUAGCUCUCGGGUAAGCGAGACUGAAAGCUUUCUUCGCUGCAUGAGAGCAAGUAAGAAACAGGAAGAGGUGCGUCUAGCCUUAACCCUUUGGCCAGUUGUCUCUAAUAUUACUUUUUUUUGUGCUAAGGCAUCGGUUUUAGGAAGAUAGGUACAUGCUAUUCUAUUAAAGGGGCGAAGCGCUAGUUCGUGGGAAGAGUCCUUUCCUAGCUCGUCAGCCAGCAUCCACCUCACGAACAAGCAGUCCCACUACGCACUAACUAUCAAUUUCAUAAGAGAAGACAGAUCGUAAGGAGAUUUUCGAUGAGUUAGCACUACCUCGAUGUGACAGAAUAAGAGUAAGAAAGCAGAAAAGUAUUCCUCUGAAAAUAGAACUAGUAGCGGAGUGAAGUAGAGAAGACUUUCAGUUCUGCCUUAGCUAGGGAGGGAGGAGUUGUAGGUAUUGCGCUUAUUCGAUUGCACAGUGGAGACAGCAUUUCUUCUCCUCAUACAACUACCCAGUGGUUUUGGAAUAAGAUAUAGCCUUGUUUUUAUCCUCAUAUGCCUCAGUCAUUCAUUGACUACAGCCGUCCCAAUGUGAACUCACUUUUACCUAGUACUUUUUUUAUUAUAAAGAAGAAUUACUGUAUGUCCUGUCAAUUCAAUAGUGUCUGGCUUCUCGGCUGUACUUAUUUGACUACUUCCCCGAAACUUAACUCUAGGUAAGGCCCUCAAGGUCAAUAAGUAAGGAAAGAAAACUACUAGGCCUCCUCUUCUAGGUUGACUCUAGGCUUCUGACUCUUCUGGGGUUCCUCUCCUCGUAGGCUAGGCGGGCUCCCGACUAACAUUUUAUUACUCCCGGAAAAAAGACCCUAGCAGCAGGAGCGCAUUUUUAAAUAAAUUAAAUAAGACCGACCAAGUGCCACUCAAAAGUCUUCUUCUGCUCUCUGAAUCUUAUAUUCAUUCGAAGCUAAGCCAGCUUGCCGGGAAAUCGCUUUCUAAUCUUCUCUGGGCGGAUUCAUCUUCUAGUUUUCGCUAUUCUAUGCAAACAAAACUCCUUCCUAGCUAGGCUUCUCCUUUCCCAGGAGAACUCUUUCUCUUCUAGGUUGACUCUUCUCCGAACUCUUCUUUUAGAACCAGAACAAGGGCAAGCCCUCUAAGCUAUUUAAAAAAUAAAAAUAUAAGUAACAACAAUUGCUAUUGAAUCUCCGGCUAUAGAAUAAGCGGAUUCUAUAAAAAGUAAUUCUUCUUCUUUGACGGCAGGAACACAUUCUGACUUGAAGUUGAAAGAUGCAAAGUCAAGAAUAUCAUAAGUCAAGCAGUUUCUAAAGAAAAGAUUGAUGCUAGCUCCGCUUCCUUCUCUAAUUUUAUGGGUAGGGCCUUCCACAGCGGGAACACGUUCUUCAAAUUGAAAGCAAGAAAGACCAAUGUCAUUCACGCGCUUACUUUACUUCCCAUUCUGGUCGAGUUCGCCGCUUCGAAGCUAGGAUUCCUCUUUUUUUUUUCUAUCUACGAACGUAAAAAUAUGUGAUGUGGUAUCUUACUUAUCUUAGUCUUAGAGAUUGGAUCUUAUUCAAAUGAAAAUGAAAAGCCUACCCAUCCCAGCUAUGAAAUCAGUAGAAGGAACACAGCCGAUUUGGAAACAUUCUCCGAUUCCUCUACAGAAUAUGGUUGAGCAAAAGAAACCGACUCAGCAACAAAGACAAGUGGUAGCAUACUAUGUUUCUUCAUAGGAUUAGGAGAUAUAAUAUGAUCGAGCAACAAAAAUUGGUUCAGCGGUUAGAGUUAUACUAUCUUAUUUUUAUAGAAUCGAUUACUGAUUGGAGACAUCAACCGAUGAGGAGACAACCUCUGAUUAAGUGACCUCUUUAUAGAUCAACCUUUCCCGGGAAAGAAGUUUUCUUCUCUAAAGCAGACUCCAUGGCACCAAACUAUUAGGAUUAGAAGACAGAAUCUGGUUCUGUGGGGGAAGGAAGACCUGACUUCAGGAGUGAAAGUGAAGUUCCUACAAAGGAAGAUUCAUUAGUUCUAUUUAAGAUUCUUAUUCAAGAUCCGUUAUUAUUAUUAUAUUUAUAAAUAAUAAUAAAAAAGCUUACCCUUGAUUUCCAAAAGGGAAAAAGCCCUUCAAAGUAAAGAAAGAAAGGCUAGUGCCACGGACUCUUAAACGAAAGGAAAUGAAUGAGUUCCAGAUCCAUUUAUGGCGUCCCGAGUUCUUUAUUCUCUUUGCUCGGCUUCUUUUUCUAUUGAUCAGAAGCAUCAAGCAGCGCCGGUUUAGAAUUCGAUUCUAAGAAAGGGCUCAGGCCCUCCCCCCUCCCUUUUUUUAUCCCAUUCUUGCUUUCAACUAUUGAAAAUUCUGUCUAUUUCACCGCCAUACCAAAAAAAAAGUAUCCUACUUUGCGUGAUGGUCAUAUAUGAUGACCAAUCUUAUCAAUUGGAACGAUGUUCAGGCAUACCUGAAAGCAACCAAUGUCACUGAAGCUACUACUAGGAAGCUUCUUGACUUUAUAGGACAGUCGUCAUACUUCUUGCUUUUCUUGGAAGCGUCGUGCGUAUGUUCCUAAGGCUGGCCUUGUCAAUUCCUAAGCUUUGCUUCCCCGUCCCCCCUAGGCUUAGUCCCCUUAUGAAUCAAAAUUUACCAGGAUAGGCCUCUUCUUCAUACUGAAGAAAAAGUCACUCGAAGUAGUCAGCUUAUUAGCAGUAUAAGAGGAAGCCUAGCUAAAUAAGUAUGUAAGAAGCUUCCCUUUAACUUAAGGCUUGAGCUUGCCCUUUUCAUAACAUCAAAUUCGGCCUAGAACGCCUAGCGACUAUUACUAUAAAUAAGAAAAGGCUAGGUGUCCAUGCCACCAACCAACUCCUGAAAGAAAACAAGAGCUUCUCCGUCCGACAAACCACUAGAAGUACCCAUCGAGUCGAGCAAUGAUCCAAUGAAGCAAGCUGCUCUUUGUCACCCCAUUUUCCCCGGGAAACAAGAGCAGGAGCAGCCCAUUCAGGCUUGGUCAAUGAAAAUUUUACUAUUAAUAGGCCGGAACCGUAGCCAAUGAGUCUGCUCCACUCCUCUUUGUUCUGCACCACUUGGCUAUAGCUAUUUCCCCACCUAGGAUCCCCAAAAAAAUAGCAUAAUAUAUAAUAUAAUAAAGUGAAAGAUUAGAUUGUUACAGAAGACCAGAUCGAGGGAAGGUACCGGACAAUCAAAGAAAGAAGCCAGCUUAAAAGCACCCUGGUCGAAGCGAAGCGCAUGCGAUGAGGGAAGAGAGAGACCACCAAUGCAAGUGGAUCGACUUAAGCAUCGAUUUCGAAGGCGACAACAUGAAGCAUGAAAAUAGAGCCAGCCACUUUUCUCGUUAAUAAUGCUACAAGCAACAAUGAGAAAACACGCUCUUGGAUGCAUGCAUGCCCCUAUCCCCCACCCAUCGUCCUGAUCUUGGCUUGAAGUAUCCAACCCGAUCUUGGCUUGGAGUAUCCAAGUAGCGCUAAAAUGAAAAAGCGAACUAUUGGAAUUCUUGGGCUUAGCCUUUGAAUUGCCCUGGAUCAGUCCUAUACUAGGUCACAAUCAACCCAUAACUUAAAAUAAAAGAAAAAGAUCGAAGUCGAGAAGCUCAUCGCUCAUGCUUCCAACCCGUGCUUUCAACCCCGGAAAGACUUCGUUGACACACACAAUAUCUUCACCACCCUCCCGACUCGCGAUCCCCAAUGUGGCUUUCCUCACUUCGGUAAGUUACAAGGAUGAAUGCAAAUAGCAAGGCGCUAUGCUGCGUGAAGUGAGACUGGCUGCCCUAAGUUAAGUGCUUCCUUAUUCAUUAAUGAUCUUGCUCAGUAGGAGGGCUUUCCCCCUUCUGUGCAGCCUGAUUCUAUCUCUGGAAAUGAGGUUGCCCUCGAUUGACAUUUAUCAUCGAAUAUGGAAUCCUCCCAUGGAUGAGAAGGUUGAGUUACAGACUCCGUUGGCUUUCGCAGGGAAGCAUCUCGAAAGUUCCGUAAUCUAUGGUUGAUGCCUCACUCGAACUCUAUCCCAUUCCCUACUUUACUUUAUUCGUCCGAGCGGCCCCUCUAGGAUGCGAUGCGGGAAGGAAGAAGGAUUUCUUUCUACCAUUAAAUAAUUCGCAAUAGUUAACCAAGCAGUAGCCAAGAACAAAGAAGCAAGCCAAGAUCAAUGGAGGGUCGCCCCAGUCAAAGAUGGUAAGGAGUAGCAUCAAUAACAUUCAUUGUAUGUACGCCUCUCAGCGAUCCACAGGCAUCUGUAGCAUGUUGUACCCGAGGGUCAUUUGGGCUGUGUCCGUUACACCAUGGACAAUAAUCUUAGUCGGAAUCAAAUUCCUUACCUUUCAACCUAAAGCUGAACAUAUCCGCACAGGUAUUCUAUUUAUUGAGGAUCCAUUUUCUAAAAAUGCCCCCUUUUGAUUAGCCAGUUUCUAAGGGGGAGAAGCAAGCCGAACCUCUGAUUGACCUAGACACAAAAAAUUCUCGGCGUCGAGAAAGAUUUGAGAUUCCGUAAGUAACAAAGUGAGUGCUUUCUAAGGGAAAAAGAAAAUGAAAUACGAACAACCGCGCUAGUCGUAAUAGAUCGACUUUCAUGCUAGUUCUUGCUCCAGCAUGAAAGUUCCAUUUCAGGGAAGGACGACGUACCAUGAUACUUUCUGUUUUGUCGAGCCUUGCUUUGGUCUCUGGUUUGAUGGUUGUACGUGCUAAAAAUCCGGUACAUUCCGUUUUGUUUCCCAUCCUAGUCUUUUGCGACACUUCAGGUUUACUUCUUUUGUUAGGUCUCGACUUCUCCGCUAUGAUCUUCCCAGUAGUUCAUAUAGGAGCUAUAGCCGUUUCAUUCCUAUUCGUUGUUAUGAUGUUCCAUAUUCAAAUAGCGGAGAUUCACGAAGAAGUAUUACGCUAUUUACCAGUGAGUGGUAUUAUUGGACUGAUCUUUUGGUGGGAAAUGUUCUUCAUUUUAGAUAAUGAAACCAUUCCAUUACUACCAACCCAAAGAAAUACGACCUCUCUGAGAUAUACGGUUUAUGCCGUAAAGGUACGAAGUUGGACUAAUUUGGAAACAUUGGGCAAUUUACUUUAUACCUACUAUUUCGUCUGGUUUUUGGUUCCUAGUCUGAUUUUAUUAGUAGCCAUGAUUGGGGCUAUAGUACUAACUAUGCAUAGGACUACCCACGGAGCGGUGAAAAGACAGGAUGUAUUCCGACGAAAUGCUAUUUCUUUUAGGAGGACUAUAAUGAGGAGGACGACAGACCCAAUCACGAGAUAAUAAAGGAAAAGAAAGGAACGUCAGAUUGGUUCGAAUCCAAUUCGUGGUGAGAUAACAGGAAUCUAAAACUAAGAAUGCCAAUAAUCUACUCCUUGACUCCGAUUCAUUCAAAACUUCUUGUGAGGAGACUCAGAAAAGACUUCUAAAAUAGAUCACAGUCAAACAUAGAACGUACGUAAAUUAAAAAAGUCUUUACCUCCGACCUCACUUUGAAAACAAGGAAGAAAGGAACUUUUCACUACCGAUAUACAAAGAAGGAGAAAUGCUCAUCUUUCUCUAUAGUACGAAGCACUCAUAGCACUUGCUGGGAUCAAUUCUUGGAUCACUAAGAGGCAUUCUAAAAACUUAUUCUCUUCCGAAAAGAAGAGAGGCAUCUUCAGGUAGUUAGAAGCAGGUAGUAAUGCUGGGGGUUUGGGGACCGCAGCCCCCCUUGUAAGCAGUAACCAUGUUCUCGUGGCGGUGCCUUUCUUAUUGAUUUGGUGGGGGUGGCUUUCUUGGUUUAAAGAAUAUCUCUUAGAGGUUAGCUCUCUGGUAAGCGAAUAAGGUAGUGCUAACUAUCUUCGCAAGAUGAGAGCAAGCAAGUCCCGAGAGAAAGUAAGCAGGUAGUGCUUUCGCGCAUAGCAGGUCUCGUGUGCAUGAAUGUGUUGAUUGCGCCUUUGUCUUUUCUUUAAUAAAUAUCUCUUAGCUCUGCCAAUUAGUAGGACUUCCUGCACUGAAAGCUUAGUAAAGUAGAGAAGAAAGAGGAUGCACAACGAAGAGAAGCCAAGACCCAAUACCCAAGGACGAAAGGGAGAAUGUAAAAGAGAACCACUCAGCCCAAAGGGAAGAAGACUAAAGACAACCAAAAUGGGAGCGGAGAAGAAUGAAGCCAACCCCCGAAAAAGGUAAAAAAAAGAAGAAAGCGGCAAACUCCAGAGAGAGGGGAAGGGCAGAGAAGUAAACCAUCCAGAGAGGGAGAAAAAAGGAGGAAGAAAUAGGAUUCGGAUGAAGAAUAAGAAAGAGAAAACGAUGCCGAGGCUAAAGUCAAAACCUAAGUCGAAGUUCAAGCUAAAGAAGAUGCCUAAGUUGAAGCUUAAGUCGAUGCCAAAGCCGGUCUGGAAUAGGGAACACCAAUUGAAAUAGCUGCCUUCCCUUACUAAUGUGGGAUCAGUUCCUCUCGAACACCUCCUAGGAGCGUCGCAUUCGAUGCAUCUAGGGUUUUAUUUUAGAGAGGCGCCUUGCGUGGGUGCUAUCUAAAUUGAGGUUUUUCCUACCUAGCUCAAUAAUGGAGAGAAUGCCCUUACGGGGUUAUUUCCGUUCAGUCUAAUCCUAUUCUCAUGUGCAAAGGCUUAUCGAUCCCUUUUGAGUCAGAUGUGGCAUUGCUGAUUUGAGAGCAGUUGUCCUUUCUACUAAAAUUAUCCCUGCUUUUCGCCCGUCGCUCAUGUGUUAAGCCAUGUCUUCAGCCUAGUGCCAUCUACACCAUAUCUGAUUUCCUUUCCUUCCCGCUCUGAUCCAGCUACUCCUCUUCUUUUAAUGCCUACAGAGAGGUUUAGUUAGCCUGCUUCCUCUCUGUUCAAGGAGCGCUUAUUCCUUCUUCGAGAGCAGCUUAUUCUUGUGCUACAGUACAGAACAAGGCAUUCGAGCAAAGGCAUAAAGAAGCCUAGCCUUUAGUUCACUUGCAAGAGAGAGAGCCCAGAGAGAGUGCCCUUAUUUAUACAACGUCCUUACUUUCUUCGAUGCGCCUAGUAAAGUAGCCAUAUUCACAAGGAAAGGAAGCCAUAGACCGAUGGCAUAAAAUGAGUUAGAUUUCCUGUGCUAACAAGAAGCAAUUUCUUCGGGUAGCUCAUCAGGAUGAAAGAAGCAGCCGUAGCAUGAAAGAAAGAGAAGUAGAGUAGGAUGAAGGAAGCAGAAGUGAUAGGCAAGCGUGCCUGGAAGCGCAAUGCUAUUGUAGCAGCUCCUUAGCCUUCUUUCAGUCCUCCAUUCUCUCUUUGGAAAUGUGUAUCACCAUACACUCAUCUCAUACCAGAUACUGAAUCUAGGGCUAAGUUCCAAUCUUUCAACCUUUUUUCAUAUAUUUGACUUGGAGAUUCCCGGUCUUCUGUCUUAACCCUGACCCUAUUCAGAGAGACUCUUCAACAGCACCUUUUCGCACCCAGCAUCUUAGCAAUGUUCCGAAUGUCUGGUCAUUGAUAAUCUUUCUCAUAGAUUAGUUUGAUGCCGACUAGAUUUGAUCACAACUAACGGGUAGUACUAUAGGGGUCUUACUCUCAGCAGUGAAUGACAAAGGAAUGUGGAAUGUCAAGCUGUGAAACUGAAAUCAUCAAUCUUUUGCUUUUUCUAUUCCGUGUAGCGGAGACUUUUUAGUAAAAAUACCAAGCUGUGAGACUUCUUCAGUGAGAAUCCCAGUGUGAAAGACUUGGCAAGAUUGGCUUCGUAGUGGUACCACAACUUGGAUGAACAAGUCGAAACUUCUCUUUUUGGCUAUACCUCCUGUAAAUCAAAACACAAGUUUAGGGCACCCUAACGGUGGGACACGACAUGGAGAUUGAAUCAUCUUUCUCUCUUUAACCUCUUUCCCUCAUUACUGAAGCGAGUGUUCGGGCAGGUGGAGUGAUAGCUAAGCGAGUCAGUCAACGAGCGGGAUAUAUGAAGUGAACCAGAUAGGGCCCCGGGUUUCAUUCCGCCUUGUUCCAAGUAACAAGAUCUAUUUCGAGAAAAAAGUGGGGGAUUCUUUAGCUAGAGCAAAGGGCUAUUUCGUGAACUCGAGGAAGAAUGAGUACUAGUCCUGGCUUUUAAAAGACUAGUUCCUGUCCUGUCUGUGUCUGAGGGAGCAGCAAAGCCCCCGAAGCGGUAUAAGAGAAAGAAGUCAGUGCUGCUUUUGCUGUUACAGAAUCUGCUUUUUCUAGUUCAAAUAGUGUCUCACAUUCAAGCCCGGAAAUUCUUGUUUGAAUGCCCAAAGAUCUGCCUUAUCGAACAUCUAAGACUGAGAAGACUGAUGGCAUUAAGGCAUAAGCUGCUAUCGAAUCUAGCUAUCCUGAAGUGACUUAAAUAUGAAUGAAUAGAAAGAGAAAGAGAAUAGGCGGAGAAUGCCCUGAGAGAGGGAGCUGUGAGGGAAGGGAAGCUACCUUGCGUCUACUAGAACAAGUACUAGCACUAAUGAAAGGGAAAUGUUUAAUCAGGUCAAUAAAGCUGAGAUGCUUCUACUUCCCAAAUUGCCUCUGCUGGCAUCAUCCAAAGAGAAAGACUCAGUCUUAGUGGUUGCCAAUAGAGAAGGUAGAAGGCGCUUUAGCCCUUUUGCUUGCUGAGAAAUGCCCCCCUUUUUGCCUAUCUCACUUGUUUACAGCUCUUAUGGGUAUUUUAGCGCUGCUUUCACAUGAUGCAAUAUCUAGGCCUCCUAGACCUGUUCUCUCGCCCAAGCCUCACAGCAUUCAUAUUCCAAGCACUAAGUAUUCCCUGCCUGCUCAGAUGCGUCAAUCCACCUAUAUGUACCCUUUUCCUCGCAUAGAGAGCUCUAGUAGUUCUUGGUAGGAGGGAACUAAGACUUUAUCUAAGGUUCAUUUCUAUUUGCUCUCCCGCUACGCUAGUACUUAAGAGACUAUCUUAGCCCAGAGUGAUCCCCCACUACCAAAGUGGAGACACCUUUAUCUCGUCAGCUCCUUACCGCUCCGUGGGGCUACCUUCACGUCACUUCCUUGAACUCGCUUAAGGAAAUCCCAAGCUCCAACACUCGAAAAGAAAAACUACACAACAACAAGGCAAUGGGGCCUACAAAGCCCCAUUUAUACCACCACUCAAAAUGACAACUCAAAACACCAAUUAUGAAACCCUCUCUCUCCCACUUCACACCUCGGAACGCACCGUUCUUAUAGAGAGAAAGGCGCUUUCACAUCUUCUUAACCCGAAAUGGCUGGGGAGAGGUAAGGUUCUUUUUUUUUAGGGUACUCCUGGGAACAGAUCCAGUGGAGACGAGGUGGGGCCUAUAGCUCAGAGGAUUAGAGCACGUGGGACAGGUGAGGGAAGGAAGAAAGAUCUCUGAUCCAGUGGAUGCUUGAAAGUGAGGUAAGCCGAUCCCAUGAGAAGGGUUCAAGCCGAGCUCCUUUAGCUAGUAGAAAGCGGUUAGCGCCUGUCGUAAAGGGCAUUAGGUUUUGAAAGAAGACCUGAAGACCGGGUUGUGACAAUGAAAAUUUUUCCUAUUGAUUUGAGUGCCGAUAUUAUCGUUUUGUAAAAUAUUAAAGGUUGACAAGGUACGGUACGUCAGUUCCGGGACUUAUCUUGAGAAGGGGAGUUUGAAGCCCGCCCCAUGGAAGGUGGGAUUCGAAUGUCACGUCUUUAGUUGUGCCCGGAAGCGGGUAAGGUCAAGUUGUACCCGAUCUACUGAUCGAUCGUAGACCAGUCUUGUAGUUGAUUCUUCGGCUAUUUUUUAUUCUUCUUUAAAGGAUCCACGGAGCCUGUCCCGGGAUUGAAUCUUGUUCAGUGAAGCGAAGAAUGGUAAUAUUUUUACUCCUUAGAAGAUUGGAUUCGAGUGUCACACUCUUUAGCUGCCGUUAAGCGGUUAAGUAGGAAGGAUAGGGCUAUUGUUGUUGUAGUAGAAGCUAAAGGUUGUCAACUGAUGUUCUGUUCCAGGUUUUCCAGCUUGAAAAUGAAGACGAAGCCAGCCAUCCCAUGGAAGAUGGGCGGUGAGUAGAAAGGCUUUUAGCGCUGUGCUGCGGCAUGGGCCCUUCAGCUUCUUAGGCAAACUCUUUCAUAACCUUGUCCCUUGUGUCGUUGAGAGGAGUCUAAAGCCAGAUAAGACCAUUCCCUAAGGGACUUUUUCUUAGAAAGUCAGGCUGGUUGUCAAUCAGAAGAUCAGGCCAAAAUCGACGAUUCUAGACUGGGUUGAGACAUUCUUGUCGGUCAAUGUGGAUUUCUUGCCUGACAGAUAGCCUUUUUUUUCUGCCGGAGGUAGUAAGUUAGCGAGAGGGGUGAAGCAGGCUAGCGAUUCUACUAUUACGUUCCAGUAGUAAGCUGAUAGUCGCUAUCUUCUCUUAGGUAGCAGCACAUGGGAGUAGCAAGAAUCUGCCUCCCGCAUAAGAUAAGAAGGGGCGAAGCGCUAGUUAGUGGGAAUAGUCCUUUCCUAGGCCCCUGGCGAGAAGACGGCUCACGGCUUGCAUGUACAAGAUCGUAGUGAAAUCGCAGCUUCACCGUCGUUCGCGCUGAUCCCGAGCAGCGUGUCAGCCGAGAGGGAACUCGGUAAAGAAAUUCGGCUCGAGGGCCUCUAUUUCCACAGGCUUUGUCUUUGUUUCUAUAGGAUCUGCUGCUCCAACCCUAUCUACUUGUGAUGUACCUGGGUUGGUUUGGCCUUUUACGUAAUCCUUUCCGCUGAUGGUUAUGGGUAAACCACAGUAAAGCAAAAAGGAAAGCCUCUCAGACAACGUUUUCGUCGCCGUUAAAGCCGAGAGAGAAGUCUCUAAAGCCGCUAUGGUCUGGGCUCUCGCUUACGUCGUCCGUCCGGGGGACUCCAUUACGCUGCUCGCCCUAUUAGCCGGCGGCAACCAUGGUAAUUUAUUAAUUUCAGCCAGUCCGUAAUUUGUUGAAUAAUAGCAGCCGGUUGAGAUAUUUCGCCAGGAAAUUCAUCUUCGGUAUGGUACACAUAUCUAUACAGUAUUGCAGAGACGAGCUGGCUAGACUCUUAUCGAAAUUGCGUAUAGAAAGAGAUUCGUCUUGAAAGCUAGACAGACAAUUUCUAUUUCCCUAUGGCCCAUGUGAUAGUGAAAGACAACAUUGUCCUAGAACGGUCAAAUAGAAUUUGAAUCUUCUAUUUGACUUCCUACGGGCAUCACAUGAUUACCAUAGUAUAUGAAGACCUCAGUCAGCUCCCCCACCAAUGAGCGGUGGUGCUUCUGUUCCAG
rnacentral:lncRNA from 1 species